rnacentral:rRNA from 1 species
GACGGAGGAUGCAAGCGUUUAUCCGGAAUGAUUGGGCGUAAAGCGUCCGCAGGUGGCAGUUCAAGUCUGCUGUCAAAGACCGGGGCUUUAACUUCGGAAAGGCAGUGGAAACUGAACAGCUAGAGUAUGGUAGGGGCAGAGGGAAUUCCUGGUGUAGCGGUGAAAUGCGUAGAGAUCAGGAAGAACAUCGGUGGCGAAGGCGCUCUGCUGGACCAUAACUGACACUCAGGGACGAAAGCUAGGGGAGCGAAUGGG